rnacentral:rRNA from 1 species
UACGAAGGGUGCAAACGUUGCUCGGAAUUAUUGGGCGUAAAGCGCACGUAGGCGGCUUGGCAAGUCGGAUGUGAAAUCCCUCGGCUCAACCAAGGAAGUGCAUCCGAAACUGCUGAGCUUGAGUACUUAAGAGGAUCGCGGAAUUCCCGGUGUAGAGGUGAAAUUCGUAGAUAUCAGGAGGAACACCGGUGGCGAAGGCGGCUUUCUGGACAGAAACUGACGCUGAUGCGCGAAAGCUAGGGGAGCAAACAGG